GAUGAACGCUGGCGGCGUGCCUAAUACAUGCAAGUCGAGCGAACAGACGAGGAGCUUUCUCCUCUGACGUUAGCCGCGGACGUGUUAGUAACACGUGGAUCACCUACCUAUAAGACUGGGAUCACUUCGUGAAACCGGAGCUCAUACCGGAUAAUAUAUUUAACCGCAUGUUUCCAUAGUUCAAGACGGUUUUGCUGUCACUUAUAGAUUGAUCCGCGGCAGAUUAGGUAGUUGGUGAGGUAACAGCUUACCAAGACGACGAUGCGUAGCCGGCCUGAGAGGAUGAUCAGCCACAAUGGGACUGAGACAAGGCCCAGACUCCUACGGGAGGCAGAAGUGGGGAAUUUUGGACAAUGGGAGAAAGACUGAUCCAGCCAUGCCGCGUGAAGGAUGAAGGACUUCGGGUUGUAAACUGCUUUUGUACGGAACGAAAAGCCUCUUGCUAAUAAAGAGGGGUCAUGACGGUACCGUAAGAAUAAGCACCGGCUAACUACGUG
rnacentral:rRNA from 1 species